rnacentral:tRNA from 1 species
GACGGGCUUGGUGGUGGCUACCGCUUCUGAUUUAUAUGCAGAAGGUCCAGGGUUCAAUCCCUGGCCCGUCC